UACAGAGGGGGCAAGCGUUAUUCGGAAUUAUUGGGCGUAAAGGGCGCGUAGGCGGCUUGGCAAGUGGAUGGUGAAAUCCCUCGGCUUAACCGAGGAACUGCCGUCCAAAACUGCUUCGCUUGAGACCGGGAGAGGUGAGUGGAAUUCCCAGUGUAGCGGUGAAAUGCGUAGAUAUUGGGAGGAACACCAGUGGCGAAGGCGGCUCACUGGACCGGUACUGACGCUGAUGCGCGAAAGCGUGGGGAGCGAACAGG
rnacentral:rRNA from 1 species